rnacentral:rRNA from 1 species
AGCGUAGGCGGGACUCCAAGUCGUUCGUACAAUGCCGGGGCCCAACCCCCGGACCUGCGGACGAGACUGGUUUCCUUGAGUUGUUUAGAGGCAGGCGGAAUUCCAGGUGUAGCGGUGGAAUGCGUAGAGAUCUGGAAGAACACCAAUGGCGAAGGCAGCCUGCUGGGAACAAACCUGACGCUGAGGCUCGAAAGCGCGGGUAGCAAACAGGGAUUAGAUACCCUGGUAGUCCGCGCUGUAAACGAUGUAUACUGGGUGUCCGCCGCAAGGCGGGCGCCGUAGCUAACGCGCUAAGUAUACCGCCUGGGGAGUACGUUUGCGAAGAAUGAA